CACGUAGGGCGCAAGCGUUGUCCGGAAUUAUUGGGCGUAAAGGGCGCGUAGGCGGUUCGUACAGUCAGACGUGAAAUUCCUGGGCUCAACCUGGGGGCUGCGUUUGAUACGUGCGGACUUGAGUGCGGAAGAGGGUCGUGGAAUUCCCAGUGUAGAGGUGAAAUUCGUAGAUAUUGGGAAGAACACCGGUGGCGAAGGCGGCGACCUGGUCCGAUACUGACGCUGAGGCGCGAAAGCGUGGGGAGCAAACAGG
rnacentral:rRNA from 1 species